GAUGAACGCUGGCGGCGUGCUUAACACAUGCAAGUCGAACGAAGCACUUUAUUUGAUUUCCUUCGGGACUGAUUAUUUUGUGACUGAGUGGCGGACGGGUGAGUAACGCGUGGGUAACCUGCCUUGUACAGGGGGCUAACAGUUGGAAACGGAUGCUAAUACCGCAUAAGCGCACAGCAUCGCAUGAUGCAGUGUGAAAAAUUCUGGUGGUAUAAGAUGGACCCGCGUUGGAUUAGCUAGUUGGUGAGGUAACGGCCCACCAAGGCGACGAUCCAUAGCCGAGCUGAGAGGGUGACCGGCCACAUUGGGACUGAGACACAGCCCGAACUCCUACGGGAGGCAGCAGUGGGGAAUAGUGCACAAUGGGCGAAAGCCUGAUGCAGCGACGCCGCGUGAGCGAAGAAGUAUUUCGGUAUGUAAAGCUCUAGCAGCAGGGAAGAUAAUGACGGUACCUGACUAAGAAGCACCGGCUAAAUACGUG
rnacentral:rRNA from 1 species